UGCCAUGGUUUUUUAUUUAAAUUUGUAUCCCUUCUGCUUGUGUCUCAACAGCUGCUGAACACCACCCCAAAGGCUCUUUUCAGAGCCAUAUUUCACAUCAUCUUUGGCUUUCUGCAGUGAUGAAAUGGAGCAAGGACGCAACUGAAGAAAUUAUUAAAAAACAUGCUUCGGAGCACCUCAAGCAUGCACCAGCAAGAAGCCAGGGAGUUUCUGUGAUGCAGAGACCAGCUGUGGUGAAUGACAGCUUCAAGCCCAUCAUCAUUAACACAAUGGUGGUCCGAUACAAAGAGUUCCUGCAUAGACUGGGCAAAGUGCUGAAACUUAAGUGGCUACUUGGCAAAGAAGUCCAGGUGUCACAGGUCCCACUCGGCUGCUCCGAACCCGGGUCUCCGGCACACAGAAAUUUUAGCACUUAGAGUUUUCCAUUGUUCUGUAGUCAACAGGUUUUUCUUUUUUUUCUUUCUUUCUUUUUUUUUUUUUUUUUAAAUGCCUGCA
rnacentral:lncRNA from 1 species